CUGUCUGAAUAUGGGGGGACCAUCCUCCAAGGCUAAAUACUCCUGACUGACCGAUAGUGAACCAGUACCGUGAGGGAAAGGCGAAAAGAACCCCGGCGAGGGGAGUGAAAAAGAACCUGAAACCGUGUACGUACAAGCAGUGGGAGCCCCACCACUAAGCCAGUGGUGAACUCCACAUACGCAUCCUUUGCUGAGGAUACGGUUAACGGAGCGCAAGCGACGUUCAACCGCAAAAGAAGCAGAGGGGGCUUAGUGGUGGGGUGACUGCGUACCUUUUGUAUAAUGGGUCAGCGACUUAUAUUCUGUAGCAAGGUUAACCGUAUAGGGGAGCCGGAGGGAAACCGAGUCUUAAUUGGGCGUUAAGUUGCAGGGUAUAGACCCGAAACCCGGUGAUCUAGCCAUGGGCAGGUUGAAGGUUGGGUAACACUAACUGGAGGACCGAACCGACUAAUGUUGAAAAAUUAGCGGAUGACCUGUGGCUGGGGGUGAAAGGCCAAUCAAACCGGGAGAUAGCUGGUUCUCCCCGAAAGCUAUUUAGGUAGCGCCUCGUGAAUUCAUCUCCGGGGGUAGAGCACUGUUUCGGCUAGGGGGCCAUCCCGGCUUACCAACCCGAUGCAAACUGCGAAUACCGGAGAAUGUUAUCACGGGAGACACACGGCGGGUGCUAACGUCCGUCGUGAAGAGGGAAACAACCCAGACCGCCAGCUAAGGUCCCAAAGUCAUGGUUAAGUGGGAAACGAUGUGGGAAGGCCCAGACAGCCAGGAUGUUGGCUUAGAAGCAGCCAUCAUUUAAAGAAAGCGUAAUAGCUCACUGGUCGAGUCGGCCUGCGCGGAAGAUGUAACGGGGCUAAACCAUGCACCGAAGCUGCGGCAGCGACGCUGAUGCGUUGUUGGGUAGGGGAGCGUUCUGUAAGCCUGCGAAGGUGGCCUGUGAGGGUUGCUGGAGGUAUCAGAAGUGCGAAUGCUGACAUAAGUAACGAUAAAGCGGGUGAAAAGCCCGCUCGCCGGAAGACCAAGGGUUCCUGUCCAACGUUAAUCGGGGCAGGGUGAGUCGACCCCUAAGGCGAGGCCGAAAGGCGUAGUCGAUGGGAAACGGGUUAAUAUUCCCGUACUUGGUGUUACUGCGAAGGGGGGACGGAGAAGGCUAUGUUGGCCGGGCGACGGUUGUCCCGGUUUAAGCGUGUAGGUGUGUGUUCCAGGUAAAUCCGGUU
rnacentral:rRNA from 1 species